rnacentral:sRNA from 1 species
CUGACAGCCUGGAGACUGAAGUCCUCUAUUUGUCUGCAAAACAAAUGCAGCUCAUGCAGAAGCAGCUUCUCCACACUGCCUCAGAGACAUGUCAAGCUGACUUGGAGGAACCACCUCAAGGGAUGAAGUAGGUCACUUAAUUAUUCCGCCAUUAAAUUUCCUCCUUUG